rnacentral:rRNA from 1 species
UACGGAGGGUGCGAGCGUUAAUCGGAAUUACUGGGCGUAAAGCGCACGCAGGCGGUUUGUUAAGCUAGAUGUGAAAGCCCCGGGCUCAACCUGGGAUGGUCAUUUAGAACUGGCAGACUAGAGUCUUGGAGAGGGGAGUGGAAUUCCAGGUGUAGCGGUGAAAUGCGUAGAUAUCUGGAGGAACAUCAGUGGCGAAGGCGGCCACCUGGACUAAUACUGACACUGAGGUGCGAAAGCGUGGGGAGC